GAUGAAGAACGUAGCGAAAUGCGAUACGUAAUGUGAAUUGCAGAAUUCAGUGAAUCAUCGAGUCUUUGAACGCACAUUGCGCCCUCUGGUAUUCCGGAGGGCAUGCCUGUCCGAGCGUCAUUGCUGCCCUCAAGCACGGCUUGUGUGUUGGGCCCCGUCCUCCUUCCGGGGGACGGGUCCGAAAGGCAGCGGCGGCACCGCGUCCGGUCCUCAAGCGUAUGGGGCUUUGUCACUCGCUUUGUAGGCCUGGCCGGCGCUUGCCGAUCAACCAAACUUUUUAUCAGGUUGACCUCGGAUCAGGUAGGGGUACCCGCUGAACUUAAGCAUAUCAAUAAGCGGAGGA
rnacentral:misc_RNA from 1 species